GAUGAAAGAACGCAGCGAAAUGCGAUAAGUAAUGUGAAUUGCAGAAUUCAGUGAAUCAUCGAAUCUUUGAACGCACAUUGCGCCCGCCAGUAUUCUGGCGGGCAUGCCUGUCCGAGCGUCAUUUCAACCAUCAAGCCCCCGGGCUUGUGUUGGGGACCUGCGGCUGCCCGCAGGCCCUGAAAACCAGUGGCGGGCUCGCUGUCACACCGAGCGUAGUAGCAAUCACCUCGCUCAGGGCGUGCUGCGGGUUCCGGCCGUUAAACAGCCUUACAAAACCCAAGGUUGACCUCGGAUCAGGUAGGAAGACCCGCUGAACUUAAGCAUAUCAAUAAGCGGAGGA
rnacentral:misc_RNA from 1 species